UGGGGAAUCUUGCGCAAUGCGCGAAAGCGUGACGCAGCAACGCCGCGUGGGGGAAGAAGGCCUUCGGGUUGUAAACCCCUUUCAGUUGGGACGAAGCUCCGUCGGUGAAUAGCCGGCUGGAGUGACGGUACCUUCACAAGAAGCCCCGGCUAACUACGUGCCAGCAGCCGCGGUAAUACGUAGGGGGCUAGCGUUGUCCGGAAUCAUUGGGCGUAAAGCGCGUGUAGGCGGUCCGGUAAGUCCGCUGUG
rnacentral:rRNA from 1 species